GUUGUUCUUGAUUGAUCUACAACCAAUUGGCACAUGUGACAUGUCUAAACUAGUGCCUUCAACUAGUCCGAAUCGGUUAUGUAAGUCUGAAAACUAUAUCGCAUGUGCUCCUCCAUGUAAAUAUCUCUUUCCAGCAAGCCUAAUCACGGGCAAGUCUUCCUAGAAAUCUACUAUCUCCAUCGAUUAAAAGUGCAUGAACCGAGAUAAUACUUGCAAGUCGCAAUCGAGAAUGAAGAAGAAGAAGACGGAGUUGAAAUGACUUGCAAAAACCGGAACCCUCUGUUUUGAGCCAAACUACUUUACAUUUUGGGUCUAUGAAAUAUUGAAGGUCAGUAAUAACUAUUAACUUUUAACCCUGUGAGGCUGUGACAGAGUUACUUCUUUAACAGAAUUAUGAAAAUAUAGAGAUCAUAAUUAGAGAUAUAUGUAGUGUCUAUGGAAUGAAGACUCCAAAUAACACACAAAUUAACCACUCCAUCAUUGGCCUCAAAA